rnacentral:lncRNA from 1 species
GUCCACGAUGCAAGAAAACAUCAGUCACACCUCUGCAUUCAGCCAUGGUGGUGAUGACUCACAGACAGUGAAAGAUGCUGCUGAAUCCAAAGACUUCCUGAACUCCUGCAAAGAGCCAUCUUGGACAAAGGGAUCUGUGAAGACAUAUCAAGAGGAAAAUAUUUUGAAAGUAGAAGCAAUUAUUAACAUGGCGUAAUGAAAACCCAUCUUUCUGCAAACCGUGCUCUCCAACUCACCACCUCAACCUUCUCCAGCAGCUGCGAGCGAGCAAGCUGGAGAAGCAGAGGGAAACAGGUCCGACUGGAAGAACUGACAGAGCUUUACUAACCACCUGGGCAGAACAGAGGUGAGAUGAGCUUCUCAGUCCUCAGAAACUGACUGCUGACACGCUCAGGAGAUGCAAUUGAGAAGAGGACUCCCUCUCUAUUGAGGAAGGCAAAGAGGAGGGACCAGGAAUAAAUGGACCGGUCUGAAAAGGUAUUGUAGGUGC